GCUCGUGUCGUCUAAUGGCAAGACGUUGGCCUCCGAAGCCAAAGAGUGUGGGUUCGAGUCCCAUCACGGGCG
rfam:Ramazzottius varieornatus DNA, contig: Scaffold001, strain: YOKOZTNA-1.